rnacentral:rRNA from 1 species
AUUUCCUUCGGGACUGAUUAUUUUGUGACUGAGUGGCGGACGGGUGAGUAACGCGUGAGUAACCUGCCCUUAAGAGGGGGAUAACAGUCAGAAAUGACUGCUAAUACCGCAUAAGCGCACAGGACCGCAUGGUCCGGUGUGAAAAACUCCGGUGGUAUAAGAUGGACCCGCGUUGGAUUAGCUAGUUGGCAGGGCAGCGGCCUACCAAGGCGACGAUCAGUAGCCGACCUGAGAGGGUGACCGGCCACAUUGGGACUGAGACACGGCCCAAACUCC